ACACAGUGUACAGUGCUGGGUAUACAGACACAGUGUGCAGUGCUGGGUUUACAGAUACAAUUUGUGUACAGUGUGUGAAUACAGGAGCAGGAUGAGAGGAGGCUCUGUAUAUUGCACACUCCCAGGUCCUGCCAGCAUCACAAUACACACCCCCAGCUACACACCACCCCCACACACAGACACACAGUGACAGCUCAGCCAGUCAGAGAUUGUCACAGGGACCCAUCAAGGAAGGUGCCCCCGGGGACUGAGCUCUCUCCAGCCUGCUGCACCUGCCCUGCUGGUAGAACCGGAUCCAGGGCUGGGUCACAUUGCUCUCUGAUGGAUCAGCUGGGACUGGGAGCUUCCACUGCAUAGACCAACCUACCUCCAGCUCACUGGGUCUGCUGCUACCUACCUCAACCUAGACCUUCACCUGCUCUGUGUGUCCCUUCUCUGUGGCUCCCCAUUAUCAGCUUCCUCUCAGAGACACCUCAAUUAUCAGCCCCCCAGUGGGUCCCCAAUUAUAAGCCCCCUCUCUGUGCAACUCCCCCAUUCUCACCCUCACUGUUAACCUUCUCAGCUGUCAUUCUCUCUGAUUGACACCCAAAACCUUAGCUCUCUCACAGGGUACCCCUAAUCCUCACCCCCUCCUUCCCAGGUCCAGGAUAGACCCCUCACUAACCCCCCAACAUGUCCAGGGACAGUGUCCAGAUCCCAGAUGACAGAGACUUUCAGAACUUCAAGAGUGAGUGCCACUCAGAGACUGGCUGGAAUCAGACUUACAGCAAAUCAGGGAUCACUGUCUGGGUGCAGAUCCUGGAGGAGGAGAGAGCCCUGCAUAAGAUCAAGGUAAGAAUCAAGUCUCAAUGCUACCCCUCAUGCCAUACCAUUCCAUACCAGACCAUGCCAUUCCAUACCAGACCAUGCCAUACCAUACCAUACCCGCCAUUCCAUACCAGACCAUGCCAUACCAUUCCAUACCAGGCCAUGCCAUUCCAUACCAUACCAUACCAGGCCAU